rnacentral:rRNA from 1 species
UACGUAGGGUUCAAGCGUUAUCCGGAAUCACUGGGCGUAAAGCGUGCGUAGGUGGUUUGUUAAGUGUAUUGCGAAAUCCUGUGGCUCAACCAUAUGGACUGUAAUGCAUACUGGCAAACUGGAGGACGGCAGAGGCAAGUGGAAUUACUGGUGUAGCAGUGAAAUGCGUAGAGAUCAGUAGGAACACCAAUGGCGAAGGCAGCUUGCUGGGCCGACCCUGACGCUAAGGCACGAAAGCGUGGGGAGCGAACAGG